GACGAACGCUGGCGGCGUGCUUAACACAUGCAAGUCGAACGGAAAGGCCCCCUUGUGGGGUACUCGAGUGGCGAACGGGUGAGUAACACGUGAGUAACCUACCCUUGACUUUGGGAUAACUUCAGGAAACUGGGGCUAAUACCGGAUAGGAGCUCCUGCUGCAUGGUGGGGGUUGGAAAGUUUCGGCGGUUGGGGAUGGACUCGCGGCUUAUCAGCUUGUUGGUGGGGUAGUGGCUCACCAAGGCUUUGACGGGUGGCCGGCCUGAGAGGGUGACCGGCCACAUUGGGACUGAGAUACGGCCCAGACUCCUACGGGAGGCAGCAGUGGGGAAUAUUGCACAAUGGGCGGAAGCCUGAUGCAGCAACGCCGCGUGCGGGAUGACGACCUUCGGGUUGUAAACCGCUUUCGCCUGUGACGAAGCGUGAGUGACGGUAAUGGGUAAAGAAGCACCGGCUAACUACGUG
rnacentral:rRNA from 1 species